rnacentral:rRNA from 1 species
GACGAACCGUGCGAACGUUAUUCGGAAUCACUGGGCUUAAAGCGCGUGUAGGCGGGACGGCACGUCUGUCGCUGAAAUCCCCCGGCUUAACCGGGGAACUGGCGUAGAUACGACCGUCCUGGAGGGGCGUAGGGGGACCUGGAACUUCCGGUGGAGCGGUGAAAUGCGUUGAGAUCGGAAGGAACGCCCGUGGCGAAAGCGAGGUCCUGGACGCCUACUGACGCUGAGACGCGAAAGCCAGGGAGCGAACGGG